rnacentral:rRNA from 1 species
UACGUAGGGUCCAAGCGUUAUCCGGAAUCACUGAGCGUAAAGCGUGCGUAGGUGGAUUGUUAAGUGCGAUGCGAAAUCCUGUGGCUCAACCAUAUGGACUGUAUCGCAUACUGGCUAUCUAGAGGACAUGAGAGGCAAAGUGGAAUUACUGGUGUAGCAGUGAAAUGCGUAGGAGAUCAGUAGGAACACCAAUGGCGAAGGCAGCUUGCUGGACAUGUAUCUGACGCUAAGGCACGAAAGCGUGGGGAGCGAACAGG